GCCAUGACGACCGCGUCCACCUCGCAGGUGCGCCAGAACUACCACCAGGACUCAGAGGCCGCCAUCAACCGCCAGAUCAACCUGGAGCUCUACGCUUCCUACGUUUACCUGUCGAUGUCUUACUACUUUGACCGCGAUGAUGUGGCUUUGAAGAACUUUGCCAAAUACUUUCUUCACCAAUCUCAUGAGGAAAGGGAACAUGCCAAGAAACUGAUGAAGCUGCAGCACCAACGAGGUGGCCGAAUCUUCCUUCAGGAUAUUAAGAAACCAGACUAUGACAACUGGGAGAGCGGGCUGAAUGCGAUGGAAUGUGCUUUACAUUUGGAAAAAAAAUGUGAAUCAGUCACUACUGGAACUGCACAAACUGGCCACUGACAAAAAUGACCCCCAUUUGUGUGACUUCAUUGAGAUACAUUACCUGAAUGGGCAGGUGAAAGCUAUCAAAGAAUUGGGUGACCACCCAUGGGGUGACUUCCCUGGUCACCAAGGCAGUGCAUGCAUGUUGGGGUUUCCUUUACCUUUUCUAUAAGUUGUACCAAAACAUCCACUUAAGUUCUUUGAUUUGUACCAUUCCUUCAAAUAAAGAAAUUUGGUACC